UGUGUGGCCCAAGACAAUUCUUCUUCUAAUGUGGCCCGGGGAAGCCAAAAGAUUGGACACCUCUGCUGUGGGGUUAUCUCUGCUUUCUCCAGAAGAGAUACAGCAUGAAGAAAGAAACCCUCUCCUACCUGACCCCACUAGUGUCUCGAGUGAUUCUGCUGCUCGCCAGCUGACACGUUCCUUCUCACCAAAGCAUCUGUCAUGUAUGGGUUAGCAAGAGUCCCUUGUGGGAGUCUUAAGUGCAGAAGCGCCUGGAAAGGUGGCAGGGGUGCGUGCACUAGUGGUUUGGGUGUGGCGAGCGAUUUUCCAAUUUCCCUUAGUUCACACCACUCUUUGCCAGUUCACCAUUGAGCAGUGAUCACUUGGCAUCUUAGUUUCCGUUCUCUGGGUCGCAGGACCUAAGAUCAAGACUGGAGCGCAAGUACAUUCUUUGGGAGGUGAUCCCAGGAGGCAGGGAGAAAGAGACAGGGAAGGAUGGAAGCCAAGUUUGGGGUGUUUGUUGUGGAUAGUGGGAGCUCAAGUCCAAAGGGACCUCUGAGAAGCAUAGAGAAUGCCUUCUAGAAUUGUCUCCAGGAAGGGCUGGAGGCUGGGGCAUUUAUCCAAGGCUCCCUCCCCAACAGUUGACAUUUGCUUCUGGGCCAUUACUUCCCCUGCACUCCUGGGGUCUUCCUGUGACAGCUGAGCAGGCUGCCAGGGCUCAGGGGAAACCCCAGAGGCAGACAGGAGAAGUCUGCGAGCACAGAACUGUCCACCUCUUCUGUGACUGGUCUCAUAGAUGGCUCAAAAGGAUGUGACAGGGGCACGAAAAGCAACAGCUACACUUGGGUUCCUUUGAUUGACUUCCUGUACACACUUAGAUGGACAAAAUGGCAGAGCUCACUGAUUCUCAACCCUGGCUGCACGUUAAUAUCACCCCCAGGGAAAUUACUGAUAUAGUCAGUCGUGGUAGUUAGCACCUCAAAUCCCAGCUACUCAGGAGGCUUAGGUAGGAGGAUCACUUGAGGCCAGGAGUUUGAGACCAGCCUGGGCAACGCAGCAAGAACUCAUCUCUAAAAAAAUUUUUUUUUUAAAUUAAAUGACUGAUGUACAGAUCCCACCCCUGAUCAUUUCAACCUGGGCAUUUGCAUUUUUGACAGCUCCUCUAACAAUUCUGAUGUGAAAAGAGGAUGGAUGGAGAAGCACUGAUUCAGCCAUGGCUGACAUGUCGGAGUUGGAAUGGACAGUGCUUGGACCUCACAGUCUCAGAGAACUGGGGAAGAGUAAAGCUGAAGAGGGUACCAUCUGGUUACAAAUGACAACUCCAGGGCCCCAGAACCCAGGCCAUGUAGAGAGGCCACAUGGGAACUGAGGUUCCUAGUCAUUAGCUUCCACUGAGCUCCCAGCCAACAGCCAGCAAUAACUUGCCAGACAUGUGCACAGGCCAUCUUAGAAGCAGAGGAUCCAGCCCUCAGCCAAGAUGCCCCAGUUGACUCCACGUGGACCAGGAGUGAGCCCUCCUGCUGAGCUCUGCCCAAGUUACAGAUCUGUGAGCAAACUAAAUGACAGCUGUAUUCA